rnacentral:rRNA from 1 species
AUUGAACGCUAGCGGCAUGCCUUACACAUGCAAGUCGAACGGCAGCACGGGGCAACCUGGUGGCGAGUGGCGAACGGGUGAGUAAUGCAUCGAAACGUACCUUUCAGUGGGGGAUAACGUAGCGAAAGUUACGCUAAUACCGCAUAUUCUGUGAGCAGGAAAGCAGGGGAUCGCAAGACCUUGUGCUGAUUGAGCGGCCGAUGUCAGAUUAGCUAGUUGGUGAGGUAAAGGCUCACCAAGGCGACGAUCUGUAGCGGGUCUGAGAGGAUGAUCCGCCACACUGGAACUGAGACACGGUCCAGACUCCUACGGGAGGCAGCAGUGGGGAAUUUUGGACAAUGGGGGCAACCCUGAUCCAGCCAUACCGCGUGAGUGAAGAAGGCCUUCGGGUUGUAAAGCUCUUUCGGCCGGGAAGAAAUCGCACGGGCUAAUACCCUGUGUGGAUGACGGUACCGGAAUAAGAAGCACCGGCUAACUACGCGCCAGCAGCCGCCGUAA